GGUAUAGCUCAAGUGGUAGAGCAUGUGCUUAGCAUGCAUGAGGUCCUGGGUUCAAUCCCCAGCACC
rnacentral:tRNA from 1 species